AGCAUUUGGUAUCUGCGCUCUGCUGAAGCCAGUUACCUUGGUUAAGCAGUUCCCCAACUGACUUAACCUUCGAUCAAACCACCUCCCCAGGUGGUUUUUUCGU
rnacentral:antisense_RNA from 1 species